ACUAGUAGAAAAAGGGUCAUACGUGAAGCCCAAUAGUGCCGGUUUGUAUUAGAGCCGGCACUAAUGUGUACAAUAGCACCGGUUCGUGGCGGCGAUCAAUAGCACCGGUUCGUGGCUAACCUUUAGUACCGGUUCAUGCCACGAACCGGUACUAAAGAGGCUGUGUCAGCCUGCGGUCAGGCUAUGGCCCCACCAUCACCAUUUAGUGUCGGUUCGUACCACGAACCGGUACUAAUGAGGUUAUGGCAAGCUAUGUUUAGUCCCACCUCGCCAAGAGAGAGGGAGUAAGAGCGGUUUAUAAGCCCUGAGUGCAGAGACAAUGAAGAAGAGGCUCAGUGCUCACGUUGCUUAGCUUCAAGCCUUUGGGAAUACGGUAGAUUGCACGGAGCUACGCGCAGUGCAGUUUACACUAUCCCGAAAGGCUUGAAGCAAAUUAACGAGCAUUGCACCUCUUUUUUAUUUUUAAUAACUUAUUACAACUCCGGACUUCUUCUUUUUUAUUUUUAAUAACUUAUUACAACUCCGGACUUCUUCUGUUAUGGCAAAAGGAAGGAGGAGAAGAAGAAGAAGGAGGAGGAGGAGAAGAAGAAGAAGAAGAGGAAGAAGAAGAAGAAGAAGAGGAGGAGGAAGAAUGAGAAGAAGAAACUCUGGACUUCUUCUUUUUUAUUUUUAAUAACUUAUUACAACUCCGGACUUCUUCUGUUAUGGCAAAAGGAAGGAGGAGAAGAAGAAGGAGGAGNNNNNNNNNNAUUUUUCAUGCAUUUAAUGAUUUGUUUUGAGCUAAAUGACCUGGAAAUUGAAAAGCACUACAAAUGAACUCUAAAAAAGUUGAAACUUGGCAUGGUAUCAUCAUUUCACCCACAUAGAUUGUCCAAAAACAUAGAGAGGGUUACGGCAAAAACUGGAUGCACUUCGUUUACAAACUGGACAAUCUCUUUCGAAGUAUUCAGGUUUCUGACGAAAUUAAACUCAUCUGUUACAAAGAAAUUUCAUUUUUUUUAAACUUAUUACAACUCCAGACUUUUUGUGCAUUCAGUAUGCAUCAUUCAAAGCGACGCCAUCAACUUUCAACCAUUUCUGCCUUCAUUUGAUAUUUUUCAUGCAUUUAAUGAUUUGUUUUGAGCUAAAUGACACUAAUUAAAUUUUGUGCAAGCAGCGCACCACCUUUAGUACCGGUUGGUGGCUCAAACCGGUACUAAAGGGUAAGCUGUUUUUUAGUCCCACCUCGCCAAGAGAGAGGGAGUAGGAGCGGUUUAUAAGCCCUGAGUGCAGAGACGAUGAAGAAGAGGCUCAAUGCUCACGUUGCUUAGCUUCAAGCCUUUAGGAAUAUGGUAGAUUGCACGGAGCUACGGGCAGUGCAGUUUACACUAUUCCGAAAGGCUUGAAGCAAAUUAACGAGCAUUGCACCUCUUUUUUAUUUUUAAUAACUUAUUACAACUCCGGACUUCUUCUUUUUUAUUUUUAAUAACUUAUUACAACUCCGGACUUCUUCUGUUAUGGCAAAAGGAAGGAGGAGAAGAAGAAGGAGGAGGAGGAGGAGAAGAAGAAGAAGAAGAGGAAGAAGAAGAAGAAGAAGAGGAGGAGGAGGAAGAAGGAGAAGAGGAAGAAGA
rnacentral:lncRNA from 1 species